UACGUAGGUGGCAAGCGUUAUCCGGAAUUAUUGGGCGUAAAGAGGGAGCAGGCGGCAGCAAAGGUCUGUGGUGAAAGACUGAAGCUUAACUUCAGUAAGCCAUAGAAACCGGGCAGCUAGAGUGCAGGAGAGGAUCGUGGAACUCCAUGUGUAGCGGUGAAAUGCGUAGAUAUAUGGAAGAACACCAGUGGCGAAAGUGGCUCUCUGGUCUGUAACUGACGCUGAGGUUCGAAAGCGUGGGUAGCAAACAGG
rnacentral:rRNA from 1 species